rnacentral:rRNA from 1 species
AUACGGAGGAUCCAAGCGUUAUCCGGAUUUAUUGGGUUUAAAGGGUGCGUAGGCGGGAGAUUAAGUCGGUGGUGAAAUUUUGCAGCUCAACUGUAAAAGUGCCAUUGAUACUGGUUUCCUUGAGUGUGGAUGAAGUAGGCGGAAUUUGUGGUGUAGCGGUGAAAUGCAUAGAUAUCACGAGGAACUCCGAUUGCGCAGGCAGCUUACUAAACCAUAACUGACGCUCAGGCACGAAGGCGUGGGGAUCAAACAGGAUUAGAUACCCUGGUAGUCCACGCAGUAAACUAUGAUUACUCGCUGUUUGCGAUACACAGCAAGCGGCUUAGCGAAAGCGUUAAGUAAUCCACCUGGGGAGUACGUUCGCAAGAAUGAAACUCAAAGGAAUUGACGGGG